AACCUCCGCAAUGUGAGAAAUCGCGACGGGGGGAUCCCAAGUGCCAUUCUUAACGGGAUGGCUUUUCAUUAGUGUAAAAAGCUUUUGGAAUAAGGGCUGGACAAGACCGGUGCCAGCCGCCGCGGUAACACCGGCAGCUCUAGUGGUAGCCAUUUUUAUUGGGCCUAAAGCGUUCGUAGCCGGUUUGAUAAGUCUCUGGUGAAAUCCUGUAGCUUAACUGUGGGAAUUGCUGGAGAUACUAUUAGACUUGAGGUCGGGAGAGGUUAGCGGUACUCCCAGGGUAGGGGUGAAAUCCUGUAAUCCUGGGAGGACCACCUGUGGCGAAGGCGGCUAACUGGAACGAACCUGACGGUGAGGGACGAAAGCCAGGGGCGCGAACCGGAUUAGAUACCCGGGUAGUCCUGGCCGUAAACGAUGUGGACUUGGUGUUGGGAUGGCUUCGAGCUGUUUCAGUGCCGAAGGGAAGCUGUUAAGUCCACCGCCUGGGAAGUACGGUCGCAAGACUGAAACUUAAAGGAAUU
rnacentral:rRNA from 1 species